GAUCUGGGGCAGCGAGCUGUGCGUCUGGCAGCGUAGGUCCAGCAGCGUGGGCCCCAGGAAGGCGAUGCACAGGCCGAAGCUGAAGAAGACGCUCCAGUAGGUACUGGUCCCAUCUCAUAGCCGCACCCCUGCAUCUGCCCUAUCCCUUCUUGGACAGUGAGCCCCAGAGAAGGGGGAGCCCCAGGGUCCCUCUGGCUCAUCACUCUGUAGUUGGUUGAAUUUACAGAUGCAGAACCCACAGAGACAGGGGGCCAACUGUGCAGCAGUGAGGGUCUGGCUUUGUAACCCAGGCUUGAAUGCAGUGGCAUGAUGGGUGCAAUCUUGUUACCUAUUACUGGUCUCUUCAGGUUUUCUUUUUGGCUCAAUCUUGAGAUGGAGGCUCGUUUUGUUGCCCAGGCUGGAGUGCAGUGGCUAUUCACAGGCAUGAUCAUCACACACUGUAGCCUCGAACUCCUGGCCUCAAGUGAUUUUCCUGUCUCAGCCUACAAAGUUGCUGGAACUCUAGAAAAUGCAGCUGAACCAAGCCUGCCUAUCUUGUCUAUGAGCAGCUGAUUGUUUGAAUCUAAAGAAUUGAUACAGGACUUGAUACAUGUGGAAUAACAGAAAGAACCUGGACCUUGGAGUGAGACAGGCUUAGACUUGAGUUCUGGCUACACACUUGGCUGUGCCAACUCAAGGCAGCUACCUUGACAUUGUAAGGCUGAUUUUCUUCAACUGUAAAAUGUCGAUGUAGGAUUACAUGAUAACACAUGCGAAGCCUCUGGUAGAACACUCAGGGCAGCACUGCUCACGCUUCUUAGUUGCCUUGCCCUGAUCCGGAGUGUCGAUUAAUCUUGGUUUGAGUUCCUCUUGCCCACCAGUGCACUUUGGUCCCCCAUUCAGUCAUGUAGCAAGGGGCUAUUCCUCCAGCUGUUCUUGAGUAAGCAUGGCACCUCACAUUCAUAUAGAAUGGUUACUAAUAGUCAUCCAAGUUAUUGAGAAAAAUAUUGACCACAAUGUACCACUCUCCCACUCCACUUUUUCCUAAUUAAUCUUUCCUUUGGGACUCAGCUAAGUUGUUCAUUCUGCUGGGAGUGCUCCACCCACCCAGAGCUGCCCCGAGUGCCUGCCUUGUGUUCUCUGCAUCCCCUCACCACCUUCCUUUGUGACAAGCAGCUGAGGUGUCUGUAACCCGAAUCAAUACUGGAUCAGCUCCUUGAAGAUAGAGAUUGGGUCACACAAUUAUCCUUAUAUCUUAGAGCACAGCACCUGCCUGGUACAUAGCUGGCAUUCAGAAAAUAUUAGCUACACAAAAAUGUGUUUAAGUAUUAUAACCUUGAGUUGAUGAAACUCUGAGGCAAGAAAUAGUAUUUAUAGAGGAUUUCAUGAAAAAUGUACAAUUUACCAAUCUCAUCAGUUCUCAGAUUUGGCUAUAUAUUAAAAUCCCCUGGAAACAUAGAAAAAAUCAGAAUCUCUGGUUGGUGGAGUCCUGUGUUGGUAUUUUGCAAAAGUUCCCAGGACUUCCUAAUGUGCAGCUAGGGUUGGAAACCACUGCUCCAGAAAAUCCACAUUUUACCACUGAAGAACUGCCUGCAUAUCCUGUACCAUUUAGGCCCUGCACUGAAGUGCCUUUAUUGAAUUAUACUUGGGCUUUGUGUCCAAUUUGACUGAACCUAGGAUAUAACUGUGUGACUCUUGUCACCGGAAAUAUGGGGAGAUGUUGUUGUCAAUGGAUCCUCUUUAUGAAGACACACCAGAGAGAUGCCUAUUGGGCAUCAGCACCAAAAAAAGGCCAUGAUCCUCCUGAGCAACCAGUUCAUGUUUGUCUUACGGAUUCCAGGAAUCAUUUAAUUAACACUAUUUUCCAGGUUUGUAGUAGCUGCUGCAAAGCUCAAGAUCAAAGCCAUGGUGCAUCUUUAUCACCUACAAAGAAUUUUGUGGUGUGUGUGUUACAUAUUGACUUGGUUCUGCAUUAUUUUUUGUCUUUUUCUCUUCACCCUCUGAUAUGGUUUAGGUCUGUGUCCCUACCCAAAUCUCAUGUCAAAUUAUAAUUCUCAAUGUUGGAGGAGGGGCCUGGUGGGAGGUGAUUGGAUAAUGGGGGCAGACCUCCCCCUUGCUGUUCUCUCAAUAAUGAGUUUUUAUGAGAUCUGGUCGUUUGAAAGUGUGUAGCACCUCCUCCUUUGCUCUCUUUUUCCUGCUGGCCAUGUGAAGAUGUGCCUGCUUCCCCUUCGCCUUCUGCCAUGAUUGUAAGUUUUCUGAGGCCUCUCCAGAAGCAGAAGCCUGUAUAGCCCACAGAACUAUGAGUCAAUUAAGCCUCUUUUCUUUAUAAAUUACCCAGUCUCAAGUAUGUCUUUAUAUCAGUGUGAGAAUGUAUGAAUACACCCUCCUUUCCUUAACUUUUUCUAUAAUAAAACUUUUUAAUGGAGAUAAUUCACAUAUCAUAAUAUUUGCCCUUUUAAAGUGUACAAUCCAGUGGUUUUUAGUGUAUUUACAAGAUUGUGUGACCAUCACUACUAAUUCCAGACCAUUUCCAUCACCCCCAAAAUAAACUCCACACCCAUUAGCAGUCACUUCUCACUCUCUCUUCCCCUCGACUUACUUUCUGUCUUUAUGGAUUUGCCUGUUCUAGAUAUUUCAUAUCUAGAUAUUUCAUAUAAAUGGAAUCAUACAAUAUGUGGCUUUCUGUGUCUGAUUUCCUGUACUUAGCAUAAUGUUUUCAAGGUUCAUCCAUGGUAUCGGUACUUUAUUCCUUUUUUAUGGCUGAAUAGUAUUCUAUUGUAUGGACAUACCACAUUUUGUUUAUACAUUCAUCAGCUGUUGGACAUUUGGGUUUCUACUUUUUGGCUAUUAUGAAUUAUGCUGCUGAGAAUAUUCAUGCACAAGUUUUUAUGUGAAUAUGUUUUAGUUCUCUUGGGUACAUACUAGAAGGGUGGUUUGCUGUGUCAGAUAUUAACUCUGUGUUUAACUUUUUGAGACCCUUUCCUCAUUUAAAGAAAUGUUUUUAUCUUAUAGUAUAGUAUGUAUCUCUGUAAGCCACUACAGAUUCCUCUUUUUGGAAUGAGGUGGCAUAUAAAUAAAUAAAUAAAAAGUCACAAAGCACUCCCAAG
rnacentral:lncRNA from 1 species